CCUACGGGUGGCAGCAGUGAGGAAUAUUGGUCAAUGGGCGCGAGCCUGAACCAGCCAAGUCGCGUGAGGGAAGAUGGUCCUAUGGAUUGUAAACCUCUUUUGUCGGGGAGCAAAAGACGCCACGCGUGGCGUUCCGAGAGUACCCGAAGAAAAAGCAUCGGCUAACUCCGUGCCAGCAGCCGCGGUAAUACGGAGGAUGCGAGCGUUAUCCGGAUUUAUUGGGUUUAAAGGGUGCGCAGGCGGAAGGUCAAGUCAGCGGUAAAAUUGAGGGGCUCAACCUCGUCGAGCCGUUGAAACUGGUUGUCUUGAGUGAGUGAGAGGUAUGCGGAAUGCGUGGUGUAGCGGUGAAAUGCAUAGAUAUCACGCAGAACUCCGAUUGCGAAGGCAGCAUACCGGCGCUCAACUGACGCUCAUGCACGAAAGUGUGGGUAUCGAACAGGAUUAGAUACCCGAGUAGUC
rnacentral:rRNA from 1 species